UGAGUUCGAGGCCAGCCUGCUCA
rnacentral:miRNA from 1 species